rnacentral:SRP_RNA from 1 species
AAUUAGUUCUGGAGCAAUAAGUUUCUUAUGAAUCGUGCCAGGACCUGGCGGUAGCAGCACUAAGUGUGGAACUUAUGUGCUCUUUUUUAUUUUGGUUU